CCUACGCGGGGCAGCAGUGGGGAAUAUUGGGCCAUGGAGGCAACUCUGACCCAGCAACGCCGCGUGAAUGUUGAAGGUCUUCGGAUUGUAAAGUUCUGUGAUGGGGGAUGAACACAAUGACGGUACCCCAAUAGCAAGCCACGGCUAACUACGUGCCAGCAGCCGCGGUAAUACGGAGGGGGAAAGCGUUAUCCGGAAUGACUGGGCGUAAGGGGUGCGUAGUGGGUUUAGUAAGUUGGCGGUGUAAUUCCGGGGCUCAACCUGGGCGCUACCGCCAAAACUAGUAGACGAGAGUGCAGAGGGGGUGAGUGGAAUGCCGAGUGUAGCGGUGGAAUGCGUAGAUAUUAGGAGGAACAUCAGGGGCGAAGGCGACUUACUGGACUGUAACUGACACUGAGGCACGAAAGCGUGGGGAGCAAACAGGAUUAGAUACCCGGGUAGUC
rnacentral:rRNA from 1 species